rnacentral:snRNA from 1 species
GGCUAACCUUCCUUGAAACUCAUCUUUGCGCUUGGGGCAAUGACAUAGCUAAUGAGGUUUUAAACGAGACGCGUCUAUUGAUGGUUGACAACCAUUUCCACAACCCCAUCCUAGGCCUAAGCUU